rnacentral:rRNA from 1 species
UACGUAGGGGGCAAGCGUUGUCCGGAAUCAUUGGGCGUAAAGCGCGUGUAGGCGGUUCGGUACGUCGGCUGUGAAAGUCCAGGGCUCAACCCUGGGAUGCCGGUCGAUACUGCCGGACUAGAGUUCGGAAGAGGCGAGUGGAAUUCCCGGUGUAGCGGUGAAAUGCGCAGAUAUCGGGAGGAACACCAAUGGCGAAGGCAGCUCGCUGGGACGUUACUGACGCUGAGACGCGAAAGCGUGGGGAGCAAACAGG